GGCCGCAUGGCGCAGUGGGUAGCGCACCUGGUGAUCUAGCAGGCCGAUCUUGGGUUCGAACCCACACGAGGUCA